UACACUAGCAUUUGUCCUGAUUUUACACGGUAAGGAUUGAUUUAGGUAAACUCGUGUUCACAGUGCAAUCAUUUGCACACAUGCACAUGGAGCACAGGCAGGCAUGCGUACACAUGCGCACACACACACACACACACACACACACAAAUAUUUCAGUCCAAAGUCCAAAAACAAGACAGCUCCAAACAAUUUAAAUAUGCACACUCUAGACUUCAAGCUUCUUUCAUGACCAUGAAUAAGAAUGAAUUGGGAGACUAGGCCCAAUAAAUUUGUCCAGUAGAAGACAGAAAAGAGCUGGAAGAGCUGCCCUUUCUUUGUUCUGCUUUGAGCCAUGGCCAAAGCCAUUUAAGUGGUUGAAAGAUAAUUGCUGGUGGACAGUGUCGGUCCAGGCUCACGAAAUUGGCCAUUGAUGCUUGAUCCUAUGCUGACGAUUUUAGGCUCUCAGAGAGGGAAAUUUCCAACUCCUUUUGAAGUUUCUCUGCUUCCCUCACCCGCCCGGUGAUAGAAGAGCGUUGUGUGCUUUGACUUGGUGAUUUUGAUGUUCUCAUUUUAAAAAUUGCGUUUAGAAGUGUUCUCAUCCUUUUCUGAGGUUUGGGGUUUUUCCUAUUUCUCUGCCUCCCUCACCCCUAUUUCCUGCACUGUUAUUAGGGAAAGAAAAUUGGAGACCGUGUCCAUUUUGAGAACAUCUCCCAGAAUAAUUGCGCUGUGACACAUGGAGAGCGCAAAUGAAAAACAGGAAGCCAAGCUGCAAGGGCUCGUUUGGAACUGGCAAACUGCAACAGAAGCUUCAGCCAGCACAUCCGCCGAGGGUAGCCAUUCCCCACACCACUUCCGUUCAGGUCUGGUUCCCAGCCGAGGCUGCGAUUGGUCUGCUCUGUCUCCUGCGGUGGUGGGGUGACCUUCCUCAACAGAUCCCAAGACCAAGUUCAGUGCAUUUACUGUGUGCUCCACGUGGCAAAUGCUGGAAGCCAGCAGCCUCUGACCAUUCUCCCACUGCUGCGGGCCGCAGAGCCAGGGCUCCAUUCGAAGCCUGCCAACAGCAUUUAUUUUGGAGACUUUGUUGGCAGUUUAGAUUUGGGUCAGAAGUGGCUUCAAGAAGCCUAAUUGAUGUUAGCUGUCUGAAUUGAAGACUAAAGCCCUGAAGGCUGAUGGGAUGGUGACUCUGUGACCUUUCAUUAGGAAUCUGACCAACUCUGUACAUUUCAACUGCUUGCUUCCAUGUGGUGGAUGUGAUCUUGCUUCCCAAGGCUCAAACCAUGCACAGGCUUCCUCCAUGCUGACAAAGGAUGCAGGCAACAGUGUCAGUGGACUUCAGUGACAGUCAGCAAGUGCACCCGCAUGCUCCACACUGAGAAGCUGCUGUCAGAUGCUGAGGACAUGGCUCAUCCCCGUGGGGAACUCAGUCUUUUGGCUUAUGCUUCCAUCAGCCAUUCAAAGCACCAAGAGUUUGGAAGCAGCAUGAGCUUGGUUUCUGUGCCUGGCAGUGACCUCCAGACCUCAAGAGGUGGACAUAGGAGAAAGAAGGAGGCGAGCCUCCAAGGCACACCCAGGGUCACACCUACACGAUAUAUGUUGGAAUAAAUGUGUUCAAAGAGAGGGGAAGUAUUGUGAGGGGGAUUAAUGGCCAUGUGUCUUUUACUGUAAUUAAUUAAAAAAAAUUUAAACAUUCACUGUAUAUUUUGAUCAGCCCUUGUGUCUUUCUCAUUCUCUGUCUAGAAAUUAGGACUUGCCAUCUCAAAAGUAGGAAUGUGUUAUGAGGAAGC
rnacentral:lncRNA from 1 species